ACCGGCUCGCCACUUCAAUAUGAAGAAGAUUAAUUCAAAGGGAGGGAACAAAACCUGACCUGUAGGUCAGAAAAACGUCCAUUAGCACAUCAAGUUCGAUUCAGUUUACUGGUAAACAAAUAUUUUUCUGCAAGCCUAUGUAACAAUGCAAAUCAUCAUCAACCAAUGUACAACAGUUAAAUUAUUAAUCAUCUUGGCUACGUAGCUUAAUCUAUACAUUCCAGUAGCGUUCGCUACAAACAAUACAAAAACAACAAUAAAGAAAAACAGCUGUCUAACAGACAGCAUAGCCGAAUUCAAGGCAACACAUAACAAUAAUCAUUCAAUCGCACUUUGUUUCAAAGUAAGCCCAUUAAAAUGCUUAAGUAAAUAAAAGUGUUCAAAAACAGCGGUUUUUGAGCCGGAGUUCUGCUCGCGGUGGGAACGCCGCCGCAAAAAGCCACUUUUUAAUCGCGAAAACGAUCGGCUGGUUACUGACAACCAAAAGGUUGUUUUUGGUAGAUAUUAAAGAUCAUGGGUGGGCGGGGCAAAUGGAGCAGUUUUCUACAGUCGAGUAAAAUUCCAGGAAAGAGCUGGGUGUGGCUUUCCUUUAAAUCACAUGAUCAACAGCUUUAAGAUGGAGGCAACUCGCUCAGUGUUUCCUGUUUCAUUCUUAGACUGUGGCGAUGGUAAGUAGCAGCUUUUCACUUGUUACCUGGCAUCUUUUCAGCCACCAAUGAUAGUCAUUGUAUGUUAUCAACAUUUCACUAACUAUGUUGUCUCUCAUGUUUAAAAUAGGCCGACCAAGAGCAAAAUAGAAGACAACAAUUUCUCAAAGGAGGUUCAAAACUAAUGCCUACAAGAUUACCAAGAGGAUGGUUCGGGGCUCUUACAUGACUCCGGGAAGUCAACACUUGGUGGAUGAGAUCCUUCACAGCAUGUUGUUUCUGGGCAAAAUCAACAACAUCCCCUUUUCUCCAGAAGAAAUCUUCCCUAAUCCUUUUGUUUUGGGUUCUUUAAUGAGAAGAUAUCCCAGGCCUUUUAAGUUGUAUUCGACUCAGCUUCCCAGGCGAAGUCCCUUCUCCUGUGUGCUCGACAUGAUCGUCCUGCAAAAUAACUCAGAGAAUGAAGAGCAAAUAAAGCAGAGUCUGCAAGAUCUCCUCACAGACUUGGACUUAGAAGAGAAUAAUAAAAAAACAGCUUUCGUCUCGUCCACCAUCUGCAUUUCUCAAAAAUCCCAAACCAACAAAUCAGAAAGGUACUGCGGAGUCUCCAUGUCCACCAAAGGUCCUAACGCUGGGAAAAUUAUGAUUGCUGCCUCCUGUCUUAGCAAAUGGCAUAAAUAUGUAUCUGGUGCGGUGAUGACCUAUUAUCCAAACACAGUCCAGAAAGAUUACUUUGAUGGAACAAUUGAAGUACCUGGAAAUAUCAGGUGUGAGGCUUUUUGUCUCCGUGAUGGUGCCAGAAUGAAGCCUUGCAGAUCAUGUAAGAAUUUGUUUGGCUUGAACACAGAAGACCUCAGAGAGUGGCCAUAUGGUAACUGUGCUGAAGCUGAGAGCCUGAGCAAUUUGCUUGAAAAUGAGAGAGAAGUUGAAACACAUGUGGAUGAAUACUCAGCUGAAAAGGACAACAGGCAGAGAGCUGAGGAUGAGGUUGAUGGGUUCUUAGAACUGUGUUGCAAAGGAUUCGGUUUAACUGGACAGGUGAAUUUUACAACCCAGAACAAGAGUGAGAUUUCAUGAAAUCAUUUGCAUUCAUCAUUCUGAUAAAUCAAAGAUUCUCUGCUCUGACAGCAUCUGUGUGGAUUUUCUGUAAUCACAGAGACGUGUAUAAGCAUGUUUACUUUCCAUCUCCAUGUAAUUGUCACAUUUAAUAAUUAAAACUGGCUUCUAUGGGUUUUUGUUUGUUUGCUUACAUAUCUAGUGUUUAAUGCAAUAUGAAGCAUUAUCAGACAGCAUUUAUUGGGAAGAAUCCCAUGUUUAUACUGGUCU
ensembl:lncRNA